rnacentral:rRNA from 1 species
AUUGAACGCUGGCGGCAGGCCUAACACAUGCAAGUCGAACGAGUGGCGGACGGGUGAGUAAUGUCUGGGAAACUGCCUGAUGGAGGGGGAUAACUACUGGAAACGGUAGAUAAUACUACAUACCAGCAGAUGUGCCGAGAUGGGAUUAGCUAGUUUGUGGGGUAACGGCUCACCAAGGCGACGAUCCCUAGCUGGUCUGAGAGGAUGACCAGCCACCCUGGAACUGAGACACGGUCCGGUCUCCUACGGUACGCAGCAGUGGUGUAUAUUGCACAAUGGGCGCAAGCCUGCUGCAGCCCUGCCGCGUGUAUGAAGAAGUCCUUCGGGUUGUAAAGUACUUUCAGCGGGGAGGCGUUACCCGCAGAAGAAGCACCGGCUAACUCCGUGCCAGCAGCCGCGGUAAUUC